GGGGAUCAGAAUGUCAUCUUGAGUGGACAAAAAAUGACGAUGAUGCGGACUCUAACGAAGAAGGUGACAUACUGAUUCGUUCUAGAAGGGCAAGAAAACGUCCUGGGCAGUUUAGCAAACAGGUUAAAAGUUUUCCAUUGGCAAAAUCCCUGAAUGAGACCAAGGUCAUAAGGGGCGAUAUCAUGGGAAAACCAAUUCAGGUUAUUCUUGGCCGCCGUCAGAAAGAAUGGGAGUUGAGGAACUGUGGAAUAUUUUUUGUACUGGCGUGGGCGAUUAAUUGAGGUGAGCUAUUGUUGCAUAUCAUGGUAACUUUUAGUUCUCAUCUGUAUCAUGCGUUGGAUGCCCUUAGUUUAUUAUGCCCCUGUGACAAAUUUCGAACCUUGUAACUUUCUUUUAUAUCAAAAUUUCUGUGAACAAAUCUUUUGUAUUACGGGUUUUGUGAAAUGAGAUUUUAUACUUCAUUGAAUAAGUAUUUCCUGUUUCUUAAAAAACAAAAGGAAAAUUUUCCAUUGCUUGUGUAUGAAAAUGCGUGUGACACUACGUCUGAUCCUUUGUGUAACUAUUCUGCUCUCUUCCUUGGGAUUACAAGAGAGUCGGAGGUAUGAUGCAUACUUCUGAUAUGGGUCUAGGAGUAAUUGGUGUUGCAGAUGUUACCGAUGUAAUGGUACGGCACCGAUUCUUAAUUUUUUGCAUGGCAGUUUAUUACCUUCUCAAUUUCUUAAAUAUCGCAAUGGUGCUAUGUGUAUUUUCUCAGCAAAGAUGGACGAUUUUCAGGGCCACUGACUCGUGUUCUAAAGUUUAACUUCUUUUUAUUCACCGCGAUGGGAAUCAUGAUUUAAUAAAAACCACCAAGCAAGGUUUUCAGGAAUCCCCAGCAUAUACAAUGUUGGAGGACUGGUUGGGUGACAUAACAGAUGAGUAUUGGGAUGAACAUUUUGAACAACUUAGAGAAAAGAAGGCAACCUGUUUUGAUUUGUUAAGUUGUUUAUUUGAGUCUUAAUAUCAUGCAGAAAAUGUUUAUUUGCUUAUGUGCUGAUCCCUUCAUGCUGUACUUGUAUGACUUUGAUUCAUCCAGGGAAAGAAGAAAGCACAGUAUAAACCCGAUUAUGAAUGGGUUCAAUGCGAAAAAUGCAGAAAGUGGAGGAUUUUGACAACUGAUUUCAGGAACGAAACGUCAUCCGAAAGAUGGUACUUCUGCGACAUGCCACCUCUUAGGGAAGAUUGUGAAACUCCUGAAGAUGAACUUGGCCCUGGAGCGUGCUUUGCUUAGGUUCAAAAUUGAAUAGGAAAGUGUUCAAGUCCAAUCCGGAAAACCAUCUUUUUGUGCAAGAUAUGUUGUGACGGCUUCCAAAGCCUUGAUCUGUAAGAUAAAUUUUCUGGCUUCGAAAACUCAUACAUGGCGCCAGUUCUGAUGUUUAUGUCAACUCUUAUUAACCUGUCGUUCUAUAUUUUCUCGUCGUCUGAGAUACAGAAUA